rnacentral:lncRNA from 1 species
CGGGAGGCGGGGCCGGGACCCGCUGACGGCAGUUUCCCAGCCCUGUUCCCCCUCCCCUGCCCCCUCAGCCUGCGGGCAGCAGAAGGCGGCGGCCAGCCUCCUCCUGCCCCUCGGCCGGACGAACCGCGGCUGCCGCGCCUGUCACCUCUGCACCUGCCCGGCUGAGAGACCUUGACCAUUCAGGCAAUCCCUUGCAGAUAAAGGAGAGGAGGCUACCGGACAGCCACAUGGAUUAAGCUUCAAGAAGCCAGGGAGAUCCCGGGAGAGUUAUGGAUUGGGGACAAGAGAUGCAGCAGGAAGGAUGCGUGUUGAUUUCUGCAGACCUUGGGGGCAAUUGAGUGGGGCCAGGAUGUUUCCUCACAUGCCUGUGUGUGACGCUGUGUACCCACGUAUGUGUUGUUUCCACAUUCUUGUUUGAUUCUAGAAAGGUACAUGGAUACAACGCGUGUGGGUGUACGAAGUGUAUGCAUGCUUAUGUGUGCUGCCGGAUAAACAUAUGGCUUUGUGUAGUCACACAUGAUACGUGCAUGACGCUUGUACUUAGCUUCCUAUAAAAAGUAUAUGGUAGUUGCUGAUGUACCCGUAUUUUUUUCGGGGUGCACGUUGGGGCCUCAAAACUCGCCGACUUUGGAUUGGGUUUUAUGGUGCUGCUAAGCAAUCCCGAACUCCUGAGAGUGCAGAAUGUUACCUUCCAGCAUUGCGGAAGCAAGGCAAAGGAGAGGGGCUGGAGGGCUUCCCAGGAAGCCCCUUCACCUCGCACCCAAGGCCUGUCUUUCCGCCUUGGUAACCUGAGGCAGGCUCCUCCCUCAUGCUCAGUGGGCUCAGCUCAGGCUCG